GGACCCGCACAAGUAGUGGAGCAUGUGGUUUAAUUCGAAGAUACGCGCAGAACCUUACCAACACUUGACAUGUUCGUCGCGACUCUAAGAGAUUAGAGUUUUCGGUUCGGCCGGACGAAACACAGGUGCUGCAUGGCUGUCGUCAGCUCGUGUCGUGAGAUGUUGGGUUAAGUCCCGCAACGAGCGCAACCCUCACUUUUAGUUGCCAUCAUUAAGUUGGGCACUCUGAAAGAACUGCCAGUGAUAAGCUGGAGGAAGGUGGGGAUGACGUCAAGUCCUCAUGGCCCUUACGUGUUGGGCUACACACGUGCUACAAUGGUAGUGACAAUGGGGUUAAUCCCCAAAAAGCU
rnacentral:rRNA from 1 species